GGAACACCCUACCGGCAAGAGCCCACGGGUACCGUUCACAGACUAAGUGAUUGUGGGCGGGGCGUCUCGCCCCGUCUAAGAUAUAGUCUGUCUCUGCUCGAAAGGGCGAGCCUAGCGCGUCCGUAAGUGAACCUGCGGAAGGAUCAUUAAAGAAUCGCCCCGGUUUUUGAAAUGGGUUCUAUUCCCAAACCGUGUAUACAUACCUUUGUUGCUUUGGCAGGCCGCCUUUUACGCGUCGGCUCCGGCUGACUGCCCCGGCCAAACGACCCAAUCUCUUUUGUUUACUGAUGUCUGAGUACUAUAUAAUAGUUAAAACUUUCAACAACGGAUCUCUUGGAUCUGGCAUCGAUGAAGAACGCAGCGAAAUGCGAUAAGUAAUGUGAAUUGCAGAAUUCAGUGAAUCAUCGAAUCUUUGAACGCACAUUGCGCCCCUUGGUAUUCCGAGGGGCAUGCCUGUUCGAGCGUCAUUAUAACCACUCAAGCCUCGGCUUGGUCUUGGGGUUCGCGGUCUCGCGGCCCUUAAAAUCAGUGGCGGUGCCGUCUGGCUCUAAGCGUAGUAAUUUUCUCGCUAUAGGGUCUAGGCGACCACCUGCCAAAACCCCCCAUUCUUUACGGUUGACCUCGGAUCAGUA
rnacentral:rRNA from 1 species